UAAUUGGAAUGAAUAGAAUUUAAAUCCCUUUACGAGUAUCAAUUGGAGGGCAAGUCUGGUGCCAGCAGCCGCGGUAAUUCCAGCUCCAAUAGCGUAUAUUUAAGUUGUUGCAGUUAAAAAGCUCGUAGUUGGAUUUCGGUUGCGAACGACCGGUCCGCCGUUUGGUGUGCACUGGUUGGUUGCAGCUUCCUGUAGAGGACACGCUCUGGGGUUAACGCUUCGGACGUGGAGUCUACGUGGUUACUUUGAAAAAAUUAGAGUGUUCAAAGCGGGCUUACGCUUGAAUAUUUCAGCAUGGAAUAACACUAUAGGACUCCUGUCCUAUUUCGUUGGUCUCGGGACGGGAGUAAUGAUUAAGAGGAACAGUUGGGGGCAUUCGUAUUUCAUUGUCAGAGGUGAAAUUCUUGGAUUUAUGAAAGACGAACUUCUGCGAAAGCAUCUGCCAAGGAUGUUUUCAUUAAUCAAGAACGAAAGUUGGGGGCUCGAAGAUGAUUAGAUACCAUCCUAGUCUCAACCAUAAACGAUGCCGACUAGGGAUUGGCGGAUGUUA
rnacentral:rRNA from 1 species